rnacentral:lncRNA from 1 species
AUCAAUGUAAGGUCUUGGUUAUGAAUAAUUUCUAGCAUUUUUCAGAAUGAGCGUUUUUGCUGCAAGUUCCUUUGCAUAAGAUUCAAACUUUGCAAAGGUAUCAUAUGCGUCAUCUUGCAUGUCUGUCUUAACCUCGCAUACAAAACAAAAAGAAGAAUACCUUAGUAGCACUGCACUAGAUAAAGAAACUUAAACAAAAUAGAAAUAAAAAGAAAAAUAAAUAAAAAAGGAAAAUGAAAAA